GCCAUAAACUAUAAAUACUUACAAAAAAAAAAAAAUGUUUAGUUGAUUUGGUUUCUAUCUGUACCAGUUUGAAAAUUUUGGAAAAUCUAGUUGUUGAAGACGUGUUUGAUGCCUCUUGAUUAUUUUCAGAAUGUUGUUGAAGUGUAUACAACCUGGGAUUUGGUGACUGAUGUAGUUUAGUUGAUGUUAAUCUGGUGAAAUCUGAAAAUCAUCUACUUGCGUCCGAGGUUGAAAAUUAAAGUUUGAAGUAGAUUGUGGAAUUCGUUGGAAUAGUAGCCGUCGUUGUGUUUGUUUCAAACUGUCUAAUUUUAUCUCGGAAACAAUAGAAAAAACUUUUUGUUUUGGCUAAAUGCUGAUUGUACGGAGAAAAUUGUUUAACUGUUGAAUAUAUACUCAAAAAUAAUUGGUCCAAAGCACCUGACUACUCUUUUUCCAUUAGGUUUUCUUUAUCUUUUUUUUUAGUAUAUAUUUCAUCAAUGUUGAAGAUACA